AUCUUUGCUCUAGGCAUAAAUUUACUUGUGAGAACUUAAAAUCAUCUUACACAGCCAAGUUCUUUUAUUUUCCAGGGACAUCAUUAGCUGCAACAGACAGGGAUUGAGGCAUUCAGUGUUAGUGGAGAUUACUGUUAUUGAGGUGGGUAGGAACUGAGAAUUUGGACAGAAUGCAAAUAGCAUCAAGAGGUGACCUGCAAGAAACAUACAGGUCUGUCAGAAAGUAAGAACUGUGCUCUGCAAAAAGCAUUGUCAUAGAUAUUGGCAGAAUCAUUUAUGAUCAGGCUUAUCUGAAGUAUGAACAAAUCACUCUGGAAUCUUCUGGGACAUUGGAAGAGGGAAAAAACAUGGUAAUAAAGAAAUCAGCGUCUGGAGAACUCCCAGGAGAUCGGUGUCAAUGCAUUUGUGUGUUCUGGAUUCUUCAAUGAAGAACCGUGCAUCGAAAGAAACAAAGAAGGAAUUCAAGAGAUGGCUUAGUAGUUAAGAGAACUGGCUUUUCCAGAGGACCUGGGUUCAAUUUGCAGAACCAAUAUGGCAGCUCACAACUAUCUGUAACUAUUGUUUCAGGGGAUCCAACACCCUCAUAUAGACGUACAUGUAGUCAAAUCACCAAUUUAGAUAAAGUAAAAAUAAAGAAAUUAUUAUGAAAGAAA